CCUACGGGGGGCAGCAGCGGGGAAUAUUGCACAAUGGGCGCAAGCCUGAUGCAGCCAUGCCGCGUGUGUGAAGAAGGCCUUCGGGUUGUAAAGCACUUUCAGCGGGGAGGAAGGCGGUGAGGUUAAUAACCUCAUCGAUUGACGUUACCCGCAGAAGAAGCACCGGCUAACUCCGUGCCAGCAGCCGCGGUAAUACGGAGGGUGCAAGCGUUAGUCGGAAUUACUGGGCGUAAAGCGCACGCAGGCGGUCUGUCAAGUCGGAUGUGAAAUCCCCGGGCUCAACCUGGGAACUGCAUUCGAAACUGGCAGGCUAGAGUCUUGUAGAGGGGGGUAGAAUUCCAGGUGUAGCGGUGAAAUGCGUAGAGAUCUGGAGGAAUACCGGUGGCGAAGGCGGCCCCCUGGACAAAGACUGACGCUCAGGUGCGAAAGCGUGGGGAGCAAACAGGAUUAGAUACCCGGGUAGUC
rnacentral:rRNA from 1 species